GUACAGCGGGUCUUUCCUGGAUGCCCGGAUGCUCCGGUCACCAAUGACCAGCUGUCCACCCACCUGUGUACUCAAAUAGACUGAUGAGGCCGGAGAGAUGCUCCGCAGUUAGCGGUCCGCUACCCCCGCAGAGGACCCCGCGGGCUCAGGACCGCCUGACUCCAGUCCUGGGCAGCCGACGCCCCCUCCCGGCCUCCGCAGGUACUGCAUGCUGUGCACAUGCUCAGGUGCAGUGCUGCGGGCCCUGGAACACAAGGCCGUAUUCCUCCUGAGUGUACCUGAAAGACAGGUGAAGUCUCUGCAAG